CAGACCCCCAUAUAUGGUAAUGUAAACACGGCGCUUCGUAAGCUCUCUGGAGCGUGCGCACUAAAAUGAAUGAGCACAGGAAGACCCGCUCCGGCAGGAAGUGGCAGCCGCUGCCAUGGCAACCAACUGAAACCCGAGGCAGCGAGGGAGAGAGCCUCGCGCCUCUCGCUCGCUGUCUUGACGUCAUUUCUAGUACGGCGCGACUGAGCGGCAGCAGCUGCGGCUCACACGCGGGACAAACAAAGAAGUUUCAUCAGAAAAGCCACGCGAGAGGGACGAGGCAAAUAUUUUGUCUGCGUUUCAAGACCCGUGCGUCAAAGCUAAGUAACAUCAGGCCUCCACUGGACUCCACCAAGGGUGAACCACUUGUCCAUGGUGGGAUGAGUGGAACGUCUAGAAGCCUUUUGUGACAGGUCUAUAAGCGGGGACGGAUGCGGCGGAGGAGGCGCGAGGGCCCUGUGACAUGCGGCGCGGCGCCGCGUGCAGCCGCCGAGGCGUCUGCCGCACGCGGGAGCGGCGCUGCCUUUGUGGGAGGACGGAGCAGCCAGAUGAUCACACGUGUUGUUGGAGAGGGUCGUGGCCGACAUCAUCUGCCUUGUCUCCCACUUGAUGAGGACACGUCAGGUUCGCGGCUCAGCUUUGAUUCUGCUGCUUCAUGUAACAUGCGGUCCUCCCUCGCACUGCUUACUCUCUCAUCUGCACCUUCUUCUUGUGUCUCUCUCUCUCGGAGACUCUCUCUCUCUAUCUUGGUUAGAGGAGAGAUAGAAGGAGAAGGAUCCGAGAGCGUACGGUCUCUCUAUCUCUCUCGAUCUCUGUCUCUGCUUAUCUCUCUCUCUCUCUCUCUCUCUCUCUCUCUCUCUCUCUCUCUCUCUCUCUCUCCAUUCACGGCGAGUGUCUCCCUCCCCUCUCUCCAGGACCCACCGAUACACAGGUAUGUGGCAGUCAGAGAAAACAAAGUACUGUUGCUCCAUUACAUAACGCUGCAGCUUUAACUUAGACAGAGCGGGAUCCAGACGCUGCAUGUGAACACAUCCGUCUAACACCUGACAGCCUCCAGGAGGAAACAAGACGUGUUCACCGUGACACAGGAGGAAUCCUUACUCAGCGCGCGCUCUUUCCUCAAUUGCUUUUGCAAAUGACUGAAAAUGCAAAUAUCUCUUUGUGUGUUUUAACGCUCCCAGCUCACGCAUGCAAAUGAUCGAUAGAACGUUUGUUGACUUUCUAAGUCAAUGACUGUGCACUGACUUCUCCCUUUUAUUUUUAUUUUGUUGUUCUGUGCGUUGGCUCAACCCGACCCUUGACCUCACACAUCAGGAGGAUCAGCAGAGUCCUGGUCACUGACCGCUCUGGAUUAAACUUAGUUCCUCCUUUGGUCUUUCCCUCUGAAGUCCUAUCAUUGUUUCUGCAAAGCCACGGGUUCAAAUGCAGUUCAUGGCUGGAGCAGGAAUGAUACGGAGGCACGUUAUCUGCAGUGGGACCAUAGGAGUGGCACCAAGCAGUCGCAGAUUUACCGCCGAUCGAGCGUCCUGCUCAGAUGAAGAUAUGCUCGGUGACUCUGCCUUUUAACCCCAUUCCACGUGCUAAUAAUUCCAAAUGGGCUGGUAAAAAGUUGUGCAUGGAACAAAAAAAAAACUGUAAUGAUUUUACUUGUGCAAACAUUCAGAAGUGAAAGCAACAUGGCUCCAGGACUGUUGAGGACAAAGUCAUUAUGAUUGAGCUGCAAUCUGUGACCCCGUCUUCACAGUCCCUGGCGCUCAUCCGGUGGGAUCUAAGUGAUAUUGACAGCUGAAUAAAUUUUCUGCAUGAAAUCA
ensembl:lncRNA